rnacentral:ncRNA from 1 species
UGGCGUUGAUGCCGAGAAGCGUGUCAGGAAGCGGGACUCGGUCUAGCCUUUCGUAGGGUUUUUGCUAUAGAAACCUCAACCUGACUUAUGUAUGAUUGCAUACAGACAUAAAAAAUAGCAAAAUG